GUGGUCGGAAUUUUGCAUAAUUGAGGUCAAAGGUCAACAAUUGAAUAUUACAAAAUUUUGUCUUUACUGUCUAUUUUGAGCUAAACUUAGGAACAUAAAACAUAUUAAACAAUCAGGGGACAAUAUUUCAUUCAACAUAUAUGGAGCCUGUUGGGCAUACCAUUUUUUUUCUAAAUACGUCAUUUUUAACGUUAAAAUUGACGUUUUUCGUUAUAUGAUACAUUUUGUUUAUUUAUGACUUCAUUUAGUUUCCAUACAAGGAUGACCUUGAACUUUGGUAAUAUUUUUUUCCCAUAAAAAUGAAGUCUUAAGACGACUUGCUACUAUACAAAAGUUUAAAGUCAGGUAAAGGGGGAUAAAAGUUAAUUUCAUUGAUUUCAGUUUCAAUGGUCAUGAUGGUUAUUUCAGUAAAUUUUUUACAUUUUUUUUGCAGACAAAAGCUGUCAUUAAUAUUUUUGUUGUACAAUCAAAAUGUAUUCAUAUAAGGUUUAUAAAAUAUGUUAGCAUCAUAUCAACGUUUUUUUUGACGUUUUUUAACAUUAGGAAUGCC
rnacentral:lncRNA from 1 species